UACGGAGGGUGCAAGCGUUAUCCGGAUUUACUGGGUUUAAAGGGUGCGCAGGCGGAUAUGUAAGUCAGUGGUGAAAUCUCUAGGCUUAACCUGGAAAUUGCCGUUGAUACUAUAUAUCUUGAAUGCUGUGGAGGUAAGCGGAAUAUGUCAUGUAGCGGUGAAAUGCUUAGAUAUGACAUAGAACACCUAUUGCGAAGGCAGCUUACUACGCAGAUAUUGACGCUCAUGCACGAAAGCGUGGGGAUCAAACAGGAUUAGAAACC
rnacentral:rRNA from 1 species